CCUAUACUGCCAUACCACCAGCAUCCACCUCUGACAUAGUGGGCUAAGAUAAUAAAAUAGGAGGCAUUACUUUAAGAGUGCCUCUUGUAUUAUUUCUCAGCUUGUCUAGCAAGUCUGUAAGCAACUGACCAAGAUACAGUUAUGCCAUGCAGGAAGUGAGGUAUUUGCUUAAAUCUGUAAAAGAAGGAAAGUAAUAAUUUUAAAUGGCCCAUGCCUCUUUAGCAGUUGUUCCAUGAUUACCAUGAACUCAGGGUUACCUACCCAAGAUCUCUUUGAAAGACAAGCUAGUUGUACUUACUGGUGCUCACUUCAGCAUCCCUUUUUGUGAAGUGCUUUAUAAGCUUCUUGUGUACAUUAAUUAGUUUUGAGUGUCUUGCUUUGUAUUUUAUUUUGCACAUAAAAAAAAUAAGUUCUCUUGCUCUACUUAUUUACACCUGACAAGCAUCCUGGUUUUCACAAAGAAAAUGAUGCAGGGUGCCUCAGUGAGAUGUUGUGAUGAGCAUUUUCUUCCGAAAUGAGCGGGCCAUUCUUCAGUUACAUUCUGUAGAAAUAAUUACUCAUACAUUCAAUAAUUCUGGUGAGACUUAUCCAAAAGAAGCUUGGCCUCUUAAAAGAGUAACUAAAGACUUUUCUGUGAAUUUGCAGUCCCCAGCAGGAGUGUAAUUAGCCCUUUGUGCUUCAGUCAUGUUAAUAGAGACAGCAGGCCUUGGUUGCAGCACAUAUGGCCAAAACAAAAGUAACAGUUCUGAGGAUAACUUCUUUCUGUCUUAAGAACAGAACACACAUGACAUGGCUAGAUGGAUCUCCUCACCUCUUCAGUAAGCUGUUGGGGUAGGGAUUGUGACAAAUAUCUUCUUCUAGAAUUCCAUUCCAAGAACUUCAGCUCUUCCCUCCAAGGAGGGAUGGGGAGAGCCCAGUCUCCAACCUCCCAGGAGGCUCCUGUGAUUCCCCCACUCCUUCAGCCUGCUGCACCAGCUGUACUCCCAAAGCAACGCAUCCUGGCUAUGCUAGGAGGGCUGACUUUCCAAGAGAGUACCGUGCCAUUUGUGACAGCAGCAACAACUGCUGUGAGGAAAUCAUACUAAUUGAAAGCUUGAAAACUUUAAAGCGUUCCCAUCUGUACGUGCGUGGAUGAUAUAGGACCCCAAUCUCAGCAACUUUUCUUGGCCUGAUGCAACCUUAACGGGAAGCAGCAUCUCACCGACAGAGGUCUCAGAUGUCGAGGCUGCUGACGGAAAGGCAGCGGUCUCUGCUACGCAGCGGUUAGCACGAGUGUGACUCCGAGCGUAGUGCUGGAGAGCUCCCGGCUCUGGGGGAGCCGGCACCCCCAUGCCACUUCCGCAAUAAAUUACCGUUUCCUAGGUGUG